rnacentral:rRNA from 1 species
GAUGAACGCUGGCGGCGUGCUUAACACAUGCAAGUCGAACGGAAAGGCUCCUGCUUGCAGGGGUACUCGAGUGGCGAACGGGUGAGUAACACGUGGGUGAUCUGCCCUGCACUUCGGGAUAAGCCUGGGAAACUGGGUCUAAUACCGGAUAGGACGAUGGUUUGGAUGCCAUUGUGGAAAGUUUUUCGGUGUGGGAUGAGCUCGCGGCCUAUCAGCUUGUUGGUGGGGUAAUGGCCUACCAAGGCGUCGACGGGUAGCCGGCCUGAGAGGAUGUACGGCCACAUUGGGACUGAGAUACGGCCCAGACUCCUACGGGAGGCAGCAGUGGGGAAUAUUGCACAAUGGGCGCAAGCCUGAUGCAGCGACGCCGCGUGGGGGAUGACGGCCUUCGGGUUGUAAACUCCUUUCGCUAGGGACGAAGCGCAAGUGACGGUACCUGGAGAAGAAGCACCGGCUAACUACGUG